UGCAAGUGGUAUUAGUGAUUAUUCAUUCACAUUCAACGAAUAAGUUUUUUGUUUUUUGUAAUGUGAUUCAAGCUCUAGAUUAAUAAGAAAUUGCUGUUUUUUCCUGAUUCAACCAAAGAAGUAAUGAAAGCAUUGAAAGGGGAUUCAAAUGUAAUUUCUUUCAAUUUUACGUUUUAUCUGAAUAAAGGCAAAAUGUGUGUUACAGAUUAUGCCUUACAGGAUGAUAUAUGUUAUUUUUGGUGGUCAAUCAAGUUCAAAUGACAGGACAGAAUUAAAAAACUGGAACCCACCAAAAUAUGCAAGUACAAAUAGACAGUAGAUAAAUAUAAUUAUUUGUGUGAUCAUCAUUAUAGUGAAAUUUUGGCCUGAUAUAAAGCAAAUCCACUAUAAGUGUGGUAUCAGAAUAUGUAUCUACGCAAGUAAUGUUAAUGUCUAUGCUAAAAAUUCAAAAACUAACAUGCAUGGGCCUGAAAAAAGUCUAGAGCUAAUCUAUAUCCUAAUAAGUGGAAAAGGAAUAAAAGACAUUAAUUUUGUGCAUGAGCCUUGACUUAAAACCAGAGAAUGGCCUGUAACAUAGACCAUUUCAAGAAUGAUCGAAGCUCUAUGGUAUUUCUGGAUACAGGGGAAGAAGCCAAACCGUAUUGUGUUACAUCAUAAAGAAGUAUAGUCAGAGGGAUUUUAACAUAACAUUGAUAAAAGCCUAAAUGGAAGGAUAUCCUCACAUCGCUGCUGGUGCCGCCAUGAGCAUGGAUUCUUCAAGUCAUCUGCCUCCCUCCCACUAUGCACAAGUCUAUAUUGCACAACAAGCAGAUCAGAGUAAUUGCAGAAAAGUACCAAGGCAAGUUUGUCAAGUUGUGGAGGGUUGUGAAUGUUGCUGACAAUUGAGGGACACUGGCAGAGAUGGUGUGGAUGGGUUGGUUUUGGCUAUAAAACCAUAUCAUGCGAUGGCAGGUUGUUGUAGUUCUUCCAUAUGCAACCAAAUGGCAUGCAGCUAUUUGCUUGACUGUGCAAAAGGCAUUAACUAAGGCUAUAAAGCUUGAUUUUUGCAGACUUAUUUCAACAAAAUCUAGAGCGAAGGACCUCUUUUAAUGUUCCUUGGCAAAUUGUUGUGCUGAUUGAAGACCACAAGUGCAUGGAAGUUGGAGAACGCUAGUGGUUAUGUAUGUUGUGCAUAAGAGAGUCAUGCUGGUGGUUAUGUUUGUUGUGCAUAAGAGAGUCACUGCAGAUGGGGUGCAUAAGAGAGUCACAGUAGUGAAUUUUUGCCAUGUUACAUAACAUGAGCUUUUGGUGCUUCCACAUUAAGAACCUAAUUUAUGUAUUUUAUUUUUCAGUCUUUACCAAAC